UAAAAAAAAAAAAAGAUGAAAAAAAGGAAGAGACAAAAUUUAAAAAUUAGAAGCCCUAUAAUGUGCCUCAACUAAACAGUUAUUUUAUUUUAUGUUUUACUGUGAGCCUCAACUAAGUUGAGCUUCUCAUUUUUGCGUAUUGUGAUAUAAUUUUUAGAAAGAGUAAAAUGAAGGUGAUUUAUGGUGUACCAAAAAAAGGAGAAAGAAGUGCAGACUUAAUUAAGAAUAAAUAUAUUUCCCAAGUCAAUCACAUCCAUGUUGUUUUUCGUUAACGUCUGUAACUGAAUAUUAUCAAAUCUCUUCUAAAUCUAAAGCUACAUCUUUUAUUGCCAUAUGGUGAUUGCGUGCUAUUAUCCUUACCUUUAACAUUAAUGAUUUCACAGGCUCCAUGCAUCAUUUUUAUCG
rnacentral:misc_RNA from 1 species